rnacentral:lncRNA from 13 species
AUCUUCUGUGUGUUCCAUUGCGUGCUGUGUAGAAUUUACCCCCUUUGGCAUAAGCUGUGAAAUGUUUUCAUUGCUGCAGCUCUCAAACAUGUGACCCUGUGACACCACCCCUUACUGGGGAUCUUCAGGAUCUUUAAUCAGAAAUGUUCUUUGCAUCAGGAUUAACUAGAAAAACACUUGUAAUCUCAUUUAUGUCAACUACAGCAAGAGUUGCUUUUAAAAAUCCUGACUUUUGGCUGGACACAGUGGCUCAUGCCUGUAAUCCCAGCACUUUGGGAGGCUGAGGCAGGUGGAUCAUGAAGUCAGGAGUUUGAGACCAGCCUGGCCAAUAUGGUGAAACACCAUAUCUACUAAAAAUACAAAAAAUUAGCCAGGCGUGGUGGUGCACUCCUGGAGUCCCAGCUACUCAGGAGGCUGAGGCAGGAGAAUUGCUUGAAUCCGGUGGGGGAGGUUUCAGUGAGCCGAGAUCACACUACUGCACUCCAGACUGGGUGACAGAGUAAGACUCCCUCUUAAAAAAAAAUUCUUACCUUUCCACCUUUAGAUAGAUAGUAAAAUUAAAUGCAAACACUGUAUCUUGUUUUUCUCAUAUUCUUCCACAGGACGCUCUAUGAGACUGCUCAGUGCCACACUGGUGAAAGAAAAAUCCAAAAGCUACUUGUAAAAUGGUCAAGUUCAAUGGCUGUGACGUGCUCAACAUAA